GUCGUGAAAUCCUCCGAGUUUCGUGUGGCUCGGUACCCGCGAAAUCGAAACGGACGAUAAUCCGCAAGGUCGCGUCCGAACGACGAAAGACAUCUAGAGGCGGCCCUGGCUUAAGUCUGACGUAUGAUACCGUCAAGUACCGAAAAGACCGACCUUGCCAAUCGUUUGAGAUCCACUAUGGAGGACACGGCCAACGUACAGAGGUUCUCCAUCCCCGGUUUGACCGGCGAUUAUCGCAUCCUCUGGUACUUCACCGUUGCUGCAGAACUCCCAUGCAAAUUCUCCCUGACAUAAGACCUGGCAAUAUCACAAUAACUGAGAGUGUCAAUCUCUGAUGGAGCGGUAAAGCAAUACAAAGCUUCGCACGAUGCUCAUGUCACGUUUCUCGUAACGUAAAGAAGAAAAUCUGUUGAUUUUGCACUUUCUUCGCACCUCGUAAUUAUCUUUGGGAUGUU